rnacentral:tmRNA from 1 species
GGGGACGCCCCGGUUUCGACGGUGUUCGUAGAAGGUGAAGCAGCGAGCCGAGGACGGUCGUUGGCCUCGUAAAUCAACCGACCAAGCCUUUAACUGGCAACAACAGCGAUUCUUUCGCACUGGCUGCUUAAUCCCAGCCCAGCGAUCGUAAAGCCCGGCCAUUGGCGCUACGCGAGCUGACACAAAAGAUGGCUAGCAGAAGAGGGUGCUUCGACCUCUAACGCGAAAUUUAGGAGCUGGAUUCAAAAGUAGCCUGUCCUUAGGCGACUGAGAGUCGAGAUUUAAAUUAAGGACUACGCUCGUAGACGCCCACCCAAGCAACAUCGGACGAGGGUUCGACUCCCUCCGUCUCCACCA